GGGGAUAGGGAUAGGGAUAGGGAUAGGGAUAGGGAUAGAGAUAGGGAUAGGGAUAGGGAUAGGGAUAGGGAUAGGGAUAGGGAUAGGGAUAGGGAUAGGGAUAGGGAUAGGGAUAGGGAUAGGGAUAGGGACAUGGACAUGACUAGGAUGUGGUGCUUUGGGACAUCCCACUUCUGAUCUCCUCUGGAUGUGGCUCUACUCUUCCCAGGGAAAGGUGAGCUUGGUUUUAGGGUGCUUACUGAGCACGGUGAUGUUGGAAAUCCUCUUUUCUUGCAUUCAUGCAUGGCCAGGUCCAAUGUCCUGCUGAAAGGGCUUUGUGCUCACUUGUUUACCUUGGACAAGGCCAAUAAACCCACAGUUAGCUUGGCAAUGAUUGAAUGGUGUUCGAUAUUGACUCAGAUUUUCCUGGUGAAGAUUAAAUGGAGGUGGGCGAUGGGAACACAGCCUUCAUGGUGGGGAAGGAAGCACAUGUUUUCCUGUUUAAUGCUUCCAUCUAUAGCCAUGAGCAAAUAAAAAUUUUGUAUCUUACAUGAAAAUUACCUCCUGCUCAACAAACAGAUCAAGGCACAAAUUUGCCUCAUUUAUAUUCACAUUCCAAAAAAAUGAUAGUUUUAUACUUCAAAACAGCUUUCUUUCCCUCUCUCCUUCUCUCCCCACAUGCACACACUUGGGACAAGAUCAAACAGCUCUUUAUUUUUCUCUAACAAUAAUGUAAUUAUUAUACAGUGUUAAUUGUAGAGAAAACUGAGGACAACUCAGCAUGUAAAAAUUCUAAUUAAUAUUUUUAUAAUACUAAUUAUUUUAUAAUUAUAAUUACGUAUAAUUAUCAUCCUUAUUUUAAUAAUUCCAUGCUCUCAUGCUACAAGUAUUACACUUAACCUUUUCAAUACUGGUCCUAGCUGUUGCUUUUUCUCAGGGUAAUCUCCUAUUCCAUGGGUUGUGCCACUGUGGCACAUCCUUGUUGCUGGUUUGUACUAUUGCUGCUGAACUCACUUGAAUUCUUGAGUUCGGGUUCAUUUCCAUUUUUGUUGGCCCAGCAGGGUGCUGCCUGCCCUGCCUCACCCACAAGGGGACAGCUGACACCUGCAGGCAGGUUAUCUUGAUGGGAACUAAGGCCAAAAGUGCACAGCAAACCACAGCAAGGAAUUUGUAUGGGUAGCCCCAUGUAUUUUCUGUACUUGUCUAUGCAGUGGUACUUGUUCAUUUAAGGUCAUCUACAUUCAGCAGGAUGCUGGACAAGAAGUGCUGACAUCCUCUGCCACCCCUUAGUGUUCUUACAGUAUGGUGCAUGGUGAGCAAGACUCAUUCAUCACCCUUCUUUGCCUUGAAUUCUUUCCAAUUCUGUCUUUCCUUCCCUGUUCAUUUUUCUAUCUAUCUGAUCUAUCAAGUAACAAAAUCCCACCCCCAUUUACACGGAGCCUGGCAGUUCCUCUACUCAGAACCUUAUGAACCCACUGCUCUGUUUCUGCUCCUGCCCAGCCCUCCUGGUGCCUGCAUCAUUGCUUGGAAUUAACAGGCAACAUUCUUCUGACAGUUGAACACAGAAAAAAUUGUUUUCAAUUAUGAAUGCUCAGAAUUCUACAAAAAAAGAGAAAGAGAUCAAACGUUUUCUUAACUCCUUGACGUCUUUGAAUACGUGUUAGACAAGGGAAAAGAUCGGUGCUCCUGGUAACUCAUAAAAACCUUUCCUUUCUGGUGGCAGAAUUUGUAAAAUUUGAGUAUCUCCUCUAACCUUAACCUUAGGUCAUCCACUAAACUCAGAGGAGUCUUUGUUGGAACAAUAGAAGGCAUUGGGUGUUUCAGGUGCUGUCUUCUGUGUACCACUACAUUAUUUGCUUGCAUAAAGGCACUCCUCUCCAAAGUGAGAUAAAUUGUUUUGUUGCUUCCAUGUGAAGCACGUGAACUGGUCUCGCACCUUCUGACUGACAUUGGAAAGGCAAUGAUCUCCUCUGAACAGCACUAUCUUGCCUGCUGGAUCCUUCUGCCCCCGUGCAGAGCUGGGCUGGAGCAGACACUGGGGCCAACUGCAGUCCACUGAAUGCAACUGAGAUGGAUCCACCAAAGGAAGAGUUCCUGCAGCACUGAUGGACACCCACCUUGCCCACCACCACAAAAAGCCAUGAGGCAGAGUCUUGAGCCUCAUUCUAAUAUCAUGCAUGCUGCAGUCAACGAACAAAAAGGCAAACAAAGACUGAAUUUACGCCAGCAAGUCACAAUAAGCCGUGCACUGGCAAAAUAUUUAAUCGUGCUGAAGUUGGAGGCCGGAUCCUCCCACGUGGCUUUAUUUUGGCAUUGCAAACUGCACAUCUUCUAAAGAUUAAUAUUAUUAUAUAUGAUGCUGUAGCAAUAUAUAUGAUUGCUUGCAGCAACACAUUAUGGAGCAUUAAAGCAGAAGAAGAUUUAAGCAGACAUUUAAAUGGAGGUGACUCUAACUGCUCGGCUUCUCCAGGAGCACUGGCAAAACCUCACACUGAGGACUAGUUCUAAUUUGUGGAGGAUGUGGAAGAGAAGUGGGAAGAAAGAAAGCUGUUGCUGCUGUUUGGCAGCUUGAUGUUUUGGGUUUUUUUUCGUGAUGUUUUCUUCUUUGCUUUAGGCAAAUGAAAGGAAUAAGUUCACUUAUAAUUGCUUUCAUGUAAAGAAAAGUUAAUAGAAAUUUUAAUAACGGUAGCAGCUUAAAAGAGUUUGAGGCCAUGGCACAUGCAAUGCAAUGGAGGCAGCUCUUGCAACAGGCUGCAGCUGCCCAUUGCUAUGGCUCUGCUUGUGGCACGGGGUGGGGGGAGCUUUGGGAGAAUUCAGAAGGGUUCAU